GACGAACGCUGGCGGCGUGCUUAACACAUGCAAGUCGAACGAUGAAGAAAAGAAUCGAAGCUUCGGCAGAAAUUCAUUUCGGAUUAGUGGCAGACGGGUGAGUAACGCGUGAGCAACCUACCUCUUACAAAGGGAAGGCCUCGGGAAACCGGGAUUAAUACCAUAUACCAUUGUGACGAAGCAUUUGGUUGCAAUCAAAGCUACGGCGGAAAGGGAUGGGCUCGCGUCCCAUUAACCGGAUGGUGAGGUAACGGCUCACCAUAGUGACGAUGGGUAACCGGCCUGAGAGGGUGAACGGUCACACUGGAACUGAGACACGGUCCAGACUCCUACGGGAGGCAGCAGUGGGGAAUAUUGCACAAUGGAGGGAACUCUGAUGCAGCGACGCCGCGUGAGUGAUGAAGGAAUUCGUUUCGUAAAACUCUGUUCUAUGGGAAGAAAAGGACUGUACCAUAGGAGAAAGCUCCGGCUAAAUACGUG
rnacentral:rRNA from 1 species